rnacentral:rRNA from 1 species
GGGAAGGCUUAGACAGCUAGGAUGUUGGCUUAGAAGCAGCCAUCAUUUAAAGAAAGCGUAAUAGCUCACUAGUCGAGUCGGCCUGCGCGGAAGAUGUAACGGGGCUCAAAUAUAGCACCGAAGCUGCGGCAUCAGUAGCAAUACUGUUGGGUAGGGGAGCGUUCUGUAAGCGGAUGAAGGUAGCUCGAGAGGGCUGUUGGACGUAUCAGAAGUGCGAAUGCUGACAUAAGUAACGAUAAAACGGGUGAAAAACCCGUUCGCCGGAAGACCAAGGGUUCCUGUCCAACGUUAAUCGGGGCAGGGUGAGUCGGCCCCUAAGGCGAGGCUGAAAAGCGUAGUCGAUGGGAAACGGGUUAAUAUUCCCGUACUUGGAUAAACUGCGAUGUGGGGACGGAGCAGGUUAGGUUAUCGCACUGUUGGAUAUGUGCGUUUAAGUUGGUAGGUGAGAAGUUUAGGCAAAUCCGGACUUCUAUCACACCGAGAGAUGAUGACGAGGCUCUACGGAGCUGAAGUAACCGAUACCACACUUCCAGGAAAAGCCACUAAGCUUCAGGUUUAUCUAAACCGUACUGAAAACCGACACAGGUGGUCAGGUAGAGAAUACUCAGGCGCUUGAGAGAACUCGGGUGAAGGAACUAGGCAAAAUAGCACCGUAACUUCGGGAGAAGGUGCGCCGGCGUAGAUUGUAGUCCCUCGCGGGCGAAGGUUGAACCGGUCGAAGAUACCAGCUGGCUGCAACUGUUUAUUAAAAACACAGCACUCUGCAAACACGAAAGUGGACGUAUAGGGUGUGAUGCCUGCCCGGUGCUGGAAGGUUAAUUGAUGGUGUAAUCGAAAGAGAAGCUCCUGAUCGAAGCCCCAGUAAACGGCGGCCGUAACUA